CCCCCCCCCCCUCCGGUGCCGAGCCCUCUGCAGGGGACAGGAAUUCCUCUGGCUUUUCUGCUUCCUCUGUGCCCGCCCAUGUUCCUAGCACAGCCGUUAUGCUUCAGCUUUAUUGAUGGGUUCGCAGGUCUGUUCCCCCGAGGUGGCAGAGAAUGCUGACUUGGUCACUUUACUCCCUGCCCACACCUGUGUGACAAUGCACUUCUGUUGUUUAAGCCAGUCAGCUUGUGGCACUUGGUUACGGCAGCCCAAUUAACACAGGUGGCGAUCAUGUCUUUCCUUCCAUGUUUUUCACCACUACCUGUACAGAGCUUGGCCCAGCAACCAGGACGCACUUGCGGAAAGAAAAAUUUGUCCUCUGGAGGACAAGGAGGAGACAUGGUCCUUGUGCUUGAAGGUCUCAUCAUGUGAUGGACGACGCCGGAAAGGAAGAAGACAAUUCAAAGUGGGUGUGUGACUCCAGGCCGGAAACAGCAGGGACCGCCAGGCUCCUGUGGGAGCCAAGUCCCUCCUCCCUCAGAUGGCGUGGGCAGUGCUGGCGGCCCUCCGGGAAUCUAGCAAAGCCCGGACCUUCAACUAGGACAGGAGGUUGCCCUGAACGCUGCGCUGGAGAGGAAGAAAAGCUGCUAGAAUAAUGCAGUCUGCAGACCACCGGGACUCCGCCGGAAGAUGGCGGUUCUGUGUCAGCUCGGAAGCAGCGCCAUCUCUCCCCGGAGCUGCGCUCCCGUCUGCCAGAGUCCCAUCAGCCUCUUCUCAUCAGCUCUGUCACCCUUCUGGCCCCUACAGGCCUGAGUCGGUGGGUCGUGCUUACUCAGUGGGCCCCAGAGAGCCAAUCUGGGGAGAGCUGGACCAAAGCCUGUUCUGGUGACAACCACAGGCCCAUCACGGGGCGACAAUCCCGUCUGCUCGUCUGUCUAGCAGGCAGACACUGUCCACCUUCCUCCCCUAUGGACAGCUGCUGGGAGAUCAUGCAACCUCGCAAGGGACUCGAGGGCUGGCUGCAGUCACGCGCGGCCGGGAGUCGUUCUGCCCCUGGUGCCACCUCCCAACGGUGCCCCUGGAAGGGGGCAUUCCCAUGGGCACAGUUACGUCCAGUUCAUGCCAAUGACUCAGUCCAGUGGGAACAGUCUGCCCCAAAGCCAAGUUUAAGUGUAAUCUCUUUUGAGAAACACACACUUGGGAUUUUUUAAGUGGUCGGUUUUCCAGAAUUUUUCCCAUAACAUUUUUGGUUUUUAGUCUUAAGAUUUUUGCACCUAUUCUGGUGUCUGGAGAGACUGCAAGGUGGAGAGUGUUUACAGACAAAUACUAAAACUUCCGGCCCUGCUCAUCAAAAGGACAAAAGACUGCGGGGCCAGGGGGCGGUUCCCAUAACACCAAGCCGUCUGACACGCUGGGCCUAAGAGAGACCAGGAGAGAGGCAGCAAAUAUUUAACUUCUCUUUGCACAGUCAGCCUCGCUUACUUGACCUUGAAAUAUUAAAUGAACCACCACAAGGUCCCAGCUUUGGAAAUUCUGUCUCCUCCAAUCCUGACUGAGAAGGGCAGGUGGGCCCUGUCACAGGUCCCUGCUCCCCGAGGCCAGGUGACAUCAAGUGGGCGCUGCAGGGAGAAGCCCAGGCCCCUUAUGUCACCACCUGGCCCAGGAGUGGGCAUAGGACGGCCACUCUAACACCCUCCCUCCCCACUGCCUCACCCAACCCCCUCCCUACUCCACGUAGUUAACAUAGCCUUGAGGCUUUGCACUGAAAACUUUCCACUCGUGUGGGAUAGCAACUUUCUCUGAACACACAGAAGGAUGAAUAUGCUGACUCAGAAACUACAGCAUUUUAGCCUUCAGUGUAGGGUUUCCAAACUUCCGCCCAGGUCCCGGGGCCAUGCUUAACUCCUGCCACCCAGAAUCCUCAAAUUUCGGACCCGAGCGUGAGGCUCAGAAAAAUCUUAGGAUUCCUCUUCUCCCUUGAGAGAGGCCCUCCCGCCUCCUGAGUCCUGGAUUCCUGUCUGAGAACCUGCCCCUUCACAGUAAUGCCCUACAGAAAAGCCCGUCCAUGCCAAAGACCAGGUGUGCCCAGCCGGACCACGGCGUCCUUGCUCAGCAAACAACACAAUCAGCACCUCCAGGCACGAAGCCCAGGUAGUUGUCCUAGAGACACAGGUGGCAACGCCGGGCCCUCACUGCUCUGACAGAGGCCAGCUGUGCCCUUGCCAGGCGAACUCAGGGCUGAAACAGCCACGGGCUUCUCAGCCCGGAAGAACUUUCAUCAGCUGAUUCAGCUAAGCAUUGCGAAGCCCCAGGCCCUCCGCCUGAAGCUGUCGUUAAGGCCAAAUAAUGACCCAGUGCUGAAGAACUCCACUAUAAAUUCUCAUGUAGUUACCGACUAGCACGGAGGAGGCACGCGAGUUUCUGGGAGCUCACAGCGAGCUGGGCAUUUGCACCCUCCCGCAACACUCAUUCUAUGUCUCUGCGCCAUGGCCAUCGAGUCCGAUCCACGCUCCCAGGAUUCAAAGGCUGGUUUCUUAGGAUGCCAAGAGGAGACGGCCAGUUGGUUAAUCAGUAAUAUCUGGCUGGAGGCCUUUUAGAGAAUCAUGAAUAAACAUGACAAAUUUUAGUCAACUUUAAUUUCAGUAUUAAUUACUAAAUAACUAUUUAUGAUACUAAUGAUUAGAGAUAGCUGAUUCACUUUAACAACAUUAAUUAUUUAGUACUUGUUUGUAAUAUGCUUAUUCACUUAUAAUGAUCAAUUACCCAUCCACUCCGCCAUGUUUGUUGGUUCACUGAUGCACUACUGAUGAAGAAGGUGGCAGAUGGCUGUAGCAAAGGACAAAACACAAUCAUCAGAGGGAAAAAGCAAGGGAGGGUAUCUGUUCAUGUCACUGGGCUUCCAGGGAACCAGGAUCAUGUGGAUCUUCAAGCUAGAAAAGAGGACAUAUCUCUUCUAGAAUGUUCUCGGUGUGGGUGUUUUAAAACUUCCAGGCAUUCUACUUGACUUUUAAAGACUAGAUCUUCAUUCGUGUAGAUUUUUUAUUUAAAAAAUGAUUCAUGGCCCCCAAAGUGUAAUCAGCUGGGAGCAUUGUAUCAGGUAAAUGUUUUCCGCCCCCACGAGAUUCGGGACAUGGGGAAUAUGAUUUUCCCAGGGCCUGGGGAAGAGUUGAAGCCCUGGGCACAGGGAAAUUAACUGGAUCGGGACAGGCGGAGCAGAGAAGGACUUUAAUUCGGUUCUUCUGGCAACCAGAGGGAUGCUCUCUGUGUGCUUGUUGAAGUCUCAUCCCUGUCCACCUAACGGAACAUUUGGAAGAAUUCAGCGAACAGCCUCACACUGAUGCCUACCCACCACGUCCUUCCUCUUCAACAGGAAGGAAAAUCUAUGUAUCGCCCAGCAAGAAAAUGCCCGGUCGUAAAAAGCAAUGAAGUUGUGACACAUGCCACCUUGAAAAUAUUAUGCUAUGUGAGAGCCCAUCACGAAAGGACAAAAUUGUGUGAUUCCAUUUACAGGAGGUACCUGAAGCAGGCACAGUCACAGAGGUGGAAAGUAGAACAGAGGUUACCGGGGCAGAAGGGAGGAGGACUGGGCAGGCACUGCUUCAUGGGCACGGAGGUUCUGUCUGAGACGAUGAAAAGUUUUGGAAAUAGUGCUGAUGGUUGCAUAACACUGUGAAUGUAAUUAAUGCCAUUCCACUGUAAACUUAAAAAUGGUUAAAAUGAUAAAUUUUAUGUUACUUAUAUUUUGCCACAAUAAAAAAAUACGAAACAUAAAAAUGAAUAAA